GCAGCAUUCCUGCUCCCCGGAGAAGCCUGUCUUGAAGUCUUUUCUCCUUGAGUCUUUCCUCUCAAGUGAGAGUGGGAGGCACAGAUUGAAAGUGUUUUCCUCUAGGAUCCUUCCCCAAAGGGAUUUAUAAAACCAAAGAACAGAAAAAAGCCCAUCACGCUUCAAGGGAACAAAAUGAGAAUUCUGGCCUAAAGAAAGAGACAAGGAAAGAGCUGGUUGAUUCAUAUUCUGUAGAAGCAAUGGCUGCAUCAUCACAGUUUUCUUCUCCGCUGGCAAGCUCUGACCCAGUGUAAUCUACUGAAGUUAAAAGAAGAACAACCCAGCAGGUAUCUCCCACCAUUCCUAGAUAUGGAACC
rnacentral:lncRNA from 1 species